AACGAACGCUGGCGGCAGGCCUAACACAUGCAAGGCGAGCGCGCCCUGCGGGGGGAGCGGCGGACGGGUGAGGAACGCGGGGGAACGGGCCCUGGUCUACGGAAGAGCCGCGGGAAACGGAGAGUAAUACCGUAGACGCCCUUUGGGGGAAAGAUUUAUCGGAAAAGGAUCGGCCCGCGUUGGAUGAGGUAGUUGGUGGGGUAAUGGCCUACCAAGCCGACGAUCCAUAGCUGGUUUGAGAGGAUGAUCAGCCACACUGGGACUGAGACACGGCCCAGACUCCUACGGGAGGCAGCAGUGGGGAAUCUUAGACAAUGGGGGCAACCCUGAUCUAGCCAUGCCGCGUGAGUGAUGAAGGCCUUAGGGUUGUAAAGCUCUUUCAGCUGGGAAGAUAAUGACGGUACCAGCAGAAGAAGCCCCGGCUAACUCCGU
rnacentral:rRNA from 1 species